CAGCUGACGGACGCGAUACUGUUUCUCUCUCUUUGUUCUUGCCUGAGCUCUCUGUUGUUGAUAGAGUGAAAGAGAGGGAGAGAAUUGUAGAGAAUAGGAGUCUACGGUUGUGAAAUAGCGUGUGUAUGUGAUUAGUGAGACUGUUGCUUAGUGGUACUUCACCGAAGGAGACUCGACUCCAAAGCGGGUUAUCAGAAGUUGUUUAAGGAGUUUGCGAUUGUCAGAUUGGGUAAUUGGGUAUUGAUCUGAGGUAUCUAGCUUUUUUGGUUUUAAUUUGUGUUUUUCUUCUGGGUUUUGUGGUUUGAUGCUUGGUUGCAUCAUUUUUGUGGCUUUGGGUUUUCGAAUUGCUUUGCUUUCAAAUCUAUUGAAAUUGCUUUGGAUUUUUGUGAUCGGAUUUUCAUCUUUUUAUACCUAUAGUGCCUAAAGCCCAAAGCAAUUGGUUUUAUACUCUUUUAUGUAGAAAAGAGUGCCUAAAACUACAUGUAAAACCUGAUUUUCAUCUUUUUAUACCUAUAGUUAUGAAUAACUAUGAUCUGGAGGUAAAGACUAGGAGGUGGGUAAGUUAUUGAUUCUGCAUAUUGGCUUCGAUUCUGCAUGUUGGAUUCCUCUAACUUGCUUAUGAAUGAUUGUAUUAUAUGAUUUGGUUUGUGAAUGAUGUGGUAGAUUUGUGGGGUAAUCGUUUAUUGUGUAGGUUUUGUUGGAUGCUUUACAGAGUAUACGAUCUUGGGGUUUUGUUGUUUGUCAAACAGAGAGGAGAGGAGCUCUUACUUGCUUGAAAGAAGGAGAGGGAAAGGAGAGGGGCUGUUCCUUGGUUGAAAGAAAAGAGGUGGAAGGGAUUUGAAUGGACGGGAAUGGGAGGUGGCAGUAUUGUUUUUUCCUCUAAUUUUUGGACUUUUGUUCUUUGUUUGCUUGAUGCGGUUGUUUUUCUCUCCAGGAAUAGUGUAGGCUAAAGGGAGUGAAUACAUAACCUGGAUAUUGUGCUUUUUAGUUUAUUUGAAGGGUAAGUGGGUUAGGACAGUGCCUUGCUCAUUGUUAUUGGUUCUGCGUAUGUACACAUAUGUGUUAUUUGUUAUGAUUUUUAAAAAUUAUGUCUCAAAAUGUGUUGGACUGAGGGAGGUGGGGAUUUUGAAGAAGGAUCCUGAGAUCUUGAAGGAGCAAAUUGAUAAGUUGAAUAAGCAAAGUAAGUUUACCUAAAGCUUUUUGUUCAAAGUCAUAAGUCUACUUUCAUCUGUCUCAAACCGAGAGGUCUGUUAAUAGAGUGGUCAUAAAUACUUAUAAAUCCAGUAUUUUGGAUAUCUAAAAACUAUAGAAAGACUGAAAGUGAUGCUCAUCUAAAAACUAAACUUGGUGAAACAGAGUGUAAGCUGUGUUUGUUUAUUCAUCAGCUUAUAUUUUUACUUCUAUGAGUUACAGAUUUCUUUCAAUAUUUUUUAAAACAUAUAUAUACAUGUUUUUAUUUGCUGCUACCUUUUUAGUGAGAAUUGUGUCUUCUCUUUUGGUUUGUGUUACUGAUUUUCUACUUUUGUCAAAAUAAAUAUCUUUUAUUCAUUUUGUGAAAGAGUUAUGAAAAGUGGAAUCGCCCGGUUAAUUGGUUACCUAUUAUUUUGAUAUUACUUAUCAAUACGUGUUAUUUUAUUAAUAUUCAAGGAUGUAUCCGAUGGAUUGUUACAUAUUUCUCGGUGCAAAUUAGUUGUUGAAAAAAGUGCUGCUAAUUGACACGUACAUGUCUAGCAUUAAAGUGCUGCUAAUUCCAGGGUAUGAAAUUGUUGAAAACUGAACUUAGGGUUCAACUCUCAAUUUCCACUCAUAGCUUGAAACUUCAAAGUUAAAGACCAAGAAUCAAUGAAAAACAUAAUUAGUUGUCGAACGGUAAUAUUCGAAUAUGUCACUGAAGCGCAUAUUGAAUCUUUAUAUACGUAUGACAAAAAAAGAUCCGUCGAUAAAGGAAGAAGACAACUAUUUGCUACCAAUCCAGACAAAACCCCGCAGGUAACAACUACAUGCACGUCAUUUUCAUUUGUUUACCUAUCACUUCUUUGACUUCUUCUAUAACUUCUUACUUUCACAAUAACAGGGAAGGAAGCACUGAAUCACCAACAUCAUCCAGACACUAUGAACAAAGAAAAAAUGGACUGAAAUACCAUGUCACUGUUUUGUGUAAAUAGAAAUGGAGGCAUCAACUUUUUGGACAACCUCCACAGCUAAUCAUCACUAGACUAACAACCUCUCAGCAACUGAUGUCACUUUUGAUAUAAUCACUAGGUUAGCCUAUAAGUAGAUCACUGUAUUUUGGAGAAGCUGUUUUAACAGCAUUUGUAAUAUAUAUUUGAACAUUACCAGAACAUCUAUAUUAAUGGUAAUAACAAGCUCCUCAUAUGGAGCAGGAAUCCAUAUAUUUUUGAGAAGCUGUUUUAACAGCAGCUGUUUUAUAUAUAUGAACUAAAUUUUCUAUC